GGGAGAUUUUUUUCAAGAUUAGACGUGGACGUGGGAUGGGACCAGCCACAUUGUAUUUUUUUGUAUUAAAUUCUUUCACAAAAGUUGAAUAAUAAUCAACGCCUACAAAUAACUACUUGAAAACAAGAUCAGGAGUGCAAGAUAGAAUAGGAGGCAUUUCAAGAUUGGGUAGGAUGGGAGCCCACCGCAUUGAACUUUUAUGGUCCCCGCCAGAUUGCCUUUCAUAUGUAGAGGAAUCUUUGCAGUCCAAAGACUUAGUAAACUAAUUGAUAGGCAUAUACGGAUGGAUUACCAUCCCACGUCGGAAGAUUGUGGGGUAUUUAUCCUGGGUUUAAGGUCUCCAGACUUCUCGACCAGUUACCAAUUAGCUGGAUCUGAAAGUUUGGUGCAUCCCACGUCGGAAGAUUGUGGGGUAUUUAUCCUGGGUUUAAGGUCUCCAGACUUCUCGACCAGUUACCAAUUAGCUGGAUCUGAAAGUUUGGUGGAUCCCCUUAGAUUGCUUAGGCCAGUCUUUCCGUUAACUCUCUGAAUCUAAUUAUCUGCUUAUCUUUGAAAAAAAAAGGAUGGAUUAAAGUCCAAAUUGUGCUAGUCCAAAGACUUGCGUAGUGAACGAGUCAAUCAAUUGGAGAAACGUCCAAAUGCCAAGCUUUUUAGGUAACUAGCUAGGUACAAUGCAAUAAAUCUAGUUGUGUUAUUCAUGGCACUAAAUAUGUGUAAGACGAUUAGCAUGCUGUGCCUCUUUUACAUCUAUCUGUUCCAGGCAAAUUGAAUGGAUAGCUCCUUAGACAUAUAAUGAGCAUCCAGGAAAUUGUUAUCAAGCUAAUUUUGAAGUUUGAUGGAAGAAUUGAAUGAAAUUAACAAUUGAGUUCUUCAACAUGUGACAAUAAUGUGAGUCCUUUUGGAAUAAACAACCAAAUAGUUUCUAGCUCUGGUCAGUUUAUGGGUGAAGCUCCUGUGCUCUUGGCUAUCUUUGCUCU
rnacentral:lncRNA from 1 species